rfam:Arabis alpina cultivar Pajares chromosome 4, whole genome shotgun sequence.
GGGUGCGAUCAUACCAACACUAAUGCACUUGAUCCCACCAGAACUCCGCAGUUAAGCGUGCUUGGAUGAUGGUAGUAUUAUGAUGGGCGACUUUCUGGGAAGUCCUUGUGUUGCAUCCC